AUGGCCGCGUCCUCGGCCCCCCUCGCGUUCUCCGCCUCCGCCUCCGCCCUGUCCGCGCGCCUGCGCCUCGCGGCGCCGGCGCCGGCGUCGUGCGCGGCCACGACGCGCCGGCGCCGCCCGGUGGUGGUCCGCGCCAAGAUCCGGGAGAUCUUCAUGCCGGCGCUCAGCUCCACCAUGACGGAGGGCAAGAUCGUGUCCUGGGCCGCCGCGGAGGGCGACCGCGUCACCAAGGGCGACGCCGUCGUGGUCGUCGAGUCCGACAAGGCCGACAUGGACGUCGAGACCUUCUACGACGGCAUCGUCGCCGCCGUCCUCGUCCCCGCGGGGGAGACCGCCCCCGUCGGCGCCCCCAUCGCCCUGCUCGCCGAGUCUGAGGAGGACGUCGCGCUCGCCGUCGCCCAGGCCAAGGCGCUCUCCAGCGGACAGCCCCAGCAGCAGGCCCCUGCUCCUUCGGACGCCGCCGCUCCACCGCCCCCGCCGGCGGCUCCGGUGGCUGCUGCUCCCGCGCCUGUGGCCGCGGGGACCAAGGGCGUUGCCACGCCGCAGGCUAAGAAGCUGGCCAAGCAGCAUAGGGUGGACCUUGCCAAGGUGACCGGCACCGGGCAGUUCGGCCGAAUUACGCCGGCUGAUGUUGAGGCAGCCGCUGGCAUCCAGCCAAAACCAAAGGUGGCUCCCACUCCUGCUGCUGCACCUGUGGCUGCAGCUUCGUCAGUAAAGGCCGUGCCUCAGGCCGCCGUGCUUCCGCCGGUGCCCGGUGCCACGGUAGUUCCGUUCACUGCAAUGCAGGCUGCAGUGAGCAAGAACAUGGUAGAGAGCCUGUCAGUGCCAGCAUUCCGUGUUGGUUACCCCAUUCUCACUGAUAAGCUCGAUGCGCUGUAUGAGAAGGUGAAGCCAAAGGGGGUGACGAUGACUGUGUUGCUUGCGAAGGCCGCUGCCAUGGCGCUUGCGCAGCACCCUGUGGUGAACGCUAGCUGCAGGGAUGGUACGAGCUUCACUUACAACAGUUCCAUCAAUAUUGCUGUGGCUGUAUCUAUUGAUGGUGGACUCAUCACACCCGUCCUGGAGCAAGCUGAUAAGCUGGAUAUAUAUUUACUCUCACAAAAAUGGAAGGAACUAGUCAAGAAGGCACGGGCAAAACAGCUUCAACCGAAUGAGUACAACUCUGGGACAUUUACUCUGUCCAACUUGGGCAUGUUUGGUGUAGAUAGAUUUGAUGCAAUUCUUCCACCUGGCCAGGGAGCUAUAAUGGCUGUUGGAGCCUCAAAACCUACAGUGGCAGCUGAUAAAGAUGGUUUCUUCAGUGUUAAGAGCAAAAUGAUGGUCAAUGUCACAGCUGAUCACAGGAUUGUUUAUGGUGCUGAUUUGGCAGCAUUCCUGCAAACUUUUGCGAAAAUUAUUGAGGAUCCUGAGAGCCUAACUUUGUAG
rnacentral:rRNA from 1 species